rnacentral:rRNA from 1 species
UCGAUGGAGAGUUUGAUCCUGGCUCAGGACGAACGCUGGCGGCGUGCCUAAUACAUGCAAGUCGAAC